AAGCCCAAAAGCUGUGGAAGGGUUACCUCCAGGGGCUCCUGAAAAAAGGGGGUUUUCCUUGGGCCUAACCUUUUCGGGAAAUAGAAGGGGGGCAGAAUGGGUGUCAGCCGCCGCGGUAACACCAGCCCCUCGAGUGGUGGGGAUGAUUAUUUGGCCUAAAGCGUCCGUAGCCGGGCCGGGUAAGUCUCCCGUUAAAUCCAGCGUCUCAAGCGUUGGACUGCGGGAGAUACUGCCUGGCUAGAGAGUGGGAGAGGUGUACGGUAUUCUGGGGGUAGGGGCGAAAUCCUUUGAUCCCCGGAGGACCACCAGUGGCGAAGGCUGUACACUAGAACACGUCUGACGGUCAGGGACGAAAGCUGGGGUAGCGAACCGGAUUAGAUACCCGGGUAGUCCCAGCCGUAAACGAUGCAUGCUAGGUGUUGGGUUGGCCACGAGCCACCCCAGUGCCGCAGGGAAGCCGUUAAGCAUGCCGCCUGGGAAGUACGAUCGCAAGAUUGAAACUUAAAGGAAUUGGCGGGGG
rnacentral:rRNA from 1 species